AGGGAAAUAGCUCAGUGGGAGAGCGCAUGCUUAGCAUGCAUGAGGUACUGGGUUCAAUCCCUAGUACCUCCA
rnacentral:tRNA from 1 species